AACGUAGGAGACAAACGUUAUCCGGAGUUACUGGGCGUAAAGGGCGUGUAGGCGGUUUGUUAAGUCUGGCGUGAAAGCUCCUGGCUAAACCGGGAGAGGUCGUUGGAUACUGGCGGACUAGAGGACGGUAGAGGCGUGUGGAAUUCCGGGUGUAGUGGUGAAAUGCGUAGAGAUCCGGAGGAACACCAGUGGCGAAGGCGACACGCUGGGCCGUACCUGACACUGAUACGCGACAGCAUGGGGAGCGAACGGG
rnacentral:rRNA from 1 species